UAUUGCACAAUGGGGGAAACCCUGAUGCAGCGACGCCGCGUGAGUGAAGAAGUAUUUCGGUAUGUAAAGCUCUAUCAGCAGGGAAGAAAAUGACGGUACCUGAUUAAGAAGCCCCGGCAAACUACGUGCCAGCAGCCGCGGUAAUGCGUAGGGGGCAAGCGUUAUCCGGAUUUACUGGGUGUAAAGGGAGCGUAGACGGUGAUGCAAGUCAGAAGUGAAAGCCCGGGGCUCAACUCCGGGACUGCUUUUGAAACUGUGUGACUGGAGUGCAGGAGAGGUAAGCGGAAUUCCUGGUGUAGCGGUGAAAUGCGUAGAUAUCAGGAGGAACACCAGUGGCGAAGGCGGAUUGCUGGACAGUAACUGACGCUGAGGCGCGAAAGCGUGGGGAGCAAACAGG
rnacentral:rRNA from 1 species